AGUGAUUAAUGCCAAAGCCCCAUUGCCUGGGGACAGGGUGAUGUUUGACUUCCUUGUACAGCUGCAGUUUGUGUGGUGAAGGUGCUCCCACAAUGUGGUUGGGUGGACAUUGAGAUGGUAACCUUAGUCAUUGUAACACCAAACUCUGACAGAAUUGCUCAGUUCAUCAGGACCUGGAUAUUUGCAUUUAGUUAGCACCUCGAAAACCUGUUUGUCAACUUUCAGCAGAAGCAGCCUCAGGGCAUUGAACACAGACUGAAUGACUCAGUGACGCUUGGAUCAGGUCAGAUCAAAUUCUCAAGCAAACAGAUGGCUGGGGAUAUUCAGUAACAACGGUGAGGAGAGAGAGGAACAAUUCACAUUCGAAGUGACCCUUCCUCAGAAACGGCCUGUUCUGAAGGAACUUUCCCGCAGAAAUCACUGGAUUAA